rnacentral:rRNA from 1 species
GAUGAACGCUGACAGAAUGCUUAACACAUGCAAGUCAACUUGAACUUCGGUUUGGGUGGCGGACGGGUGAGUAACGCGUAAAGAACUUGCCUCACAGAUAGGGACAACAUUUGGAAACGAAUGCUAAUACCUGAUAUUAUGAUUAUAUGGCAUCGUAUAAUUAUGAAAGCCAUAUGCGCUGUGAGAGAGCUUUGCGUCCCAUUAGCUAGUUGGAGAGGUAACGGCUCACCAAGGCGAUGAUGGGUAGCCGGCCUGAGAGGGUGAUCGGCCACAAGGGGACUGAGACACGGCCCUUACUCCUACGGGAGGCAGCAGUGGGGAAUAUUGGACAAUGGACCAAGAGUCUGAUCCAGCAAUUCUGUGUGCACGAUGAAGUUUUUCGGAAUGUAAAGUGCUUUCAGUUGGGAAGAAAAAAAUGACGGUACCAACAGAAGAAGUGACGGCUAAAUACGUG